UGGUUGCCAACCGCCAUUCAAAACCACAAGAAGAAGAAGAAGAAGAAGAAGAAGAAGAGCUCUUCUUGGAGAGAGGAGCUGCGAUGUCUCCAUAGACAGUAGGAUUUCUCCUCUUGCAAGAGUCGAAGGUUAGCAGAACGUAUCAUCUCAUAUCAGCAAGUCCAAGAAUGAUGUACCAGUACAGCCCAACUUGAAUUUAUUCCCAACACUUUUGAUGGGGGGCAGAAGACGGAGCUUCAGGCCAAACUGUCCCCUCCCCAGGCCAGCUGCAGAACAGGGUCCAGAGCGUCGGGAACUUCUCCACGUUGUCACGUUGCCUACGUCAGCCCCACCAUCAAGGGCUCGGCCCCCACGCCGGCCUCCACCAGCCUCCAGUGUCUGAACAUCAGCGGCUGGGGGGGGGGCAGCGGGGUCAUCACUGGCAUCCCUAUGCUGUGUGGAGCAGGGGCGCCGACUUCCACCCCAAACACGCCACGCAGCGGCCUGCCCUGCCCCGCCUCCUUUGUUGGCACCCCAAGCUCCACCCCCCCCUCCCCCCCCAGCAAGGGCCAACCAGCGCAGAGUUUCCAAAGAGCCUGUCCACCCUCAGAUUCGCUUGGGACAGCAGCUGG